GGGGGAUCGGGGCUGGGGGCAGCCGCUGGAGCCAGGGCUCGGUCCUGGCGCCACACUGGGGCCUCCUUGUGCUGCAGGGUGCCCACCCUUCCCCCCGGGGACGCAGCUGCUGCCCCAAAGCUGGCUGCGUUUCAGAGCCAGGCGGAAAUUAUUUUUAGCGGUGUUGAUCAGCUUCGCAAAGCUGUCGGGAAAACAGUGACUCAGAGGCAGGGCGGGGGGAGCAGGGAGCUGAGCAGCGCUGCCCCCCCUCCAGGGCCACUGGGAGCCCCGGGGGCAGCACGCAGAGGGCUCCUUCUCUGCAGAGCCGGGGGGGGGGGGCCGGGCCCCUCUGCCACACUCGAGGCUGGCUCAGCCCCCAGCCUGACGUGGGGUGGGCGCCGCUGCCCCUGGGCAGCCUGCCAGGCACCGGUACGGGGCAGGGGCUGCGUGGGCGCCCCUCAAGGUAACCGCCCCUGCCCGGCACAGGGGAGGGCAGCUGGGCCCCAGCCGUGCCCCCACAGCCUGGCACGUCCCUCUGCUCCUCGCUGCCUGCCAGGAACAGCCUUGCUGCCUGGACGCGGGCCAGGCUCUCCAGACAGCGCAUCCUCAGCUCCCCCCUGGGAGGGCUCUGUCUCAGCUCUGUGCAAACAACCCACGGCACGUGGACCCCCCCCAGCCCCGGCACAAGCCACAGACUCCGGCUGCGCCCCAGGGUUGGGCUCUGGGAGCGGCCCCGAGCGCCCUGCGCCCGGCUCCCCCUCCCCAGGUAUCGCAGUGGAGCCGGGGCAGGAGCGGGGUGCGCAGCACGCUGCAGCAAGAGGAGCGAGCCGGGGCCUGCCUCCAGCACAGCAGCUCCCCAGGGAAGGGCUCUGCAGCCCUGGAGCUGGGUGGCAGGAAGGCGAGGGAAGGCGCUGCUGUGCUGCGUGGGCUCCUCCUGGCCCUGGGGUGGGUGAGAGGCAGCCCUCGCCCCCUCUCCCUGCCCUGCAGCUCCCCAUGCAGGGGGCCGUGCUGCCCUUCCCAGCCGAGCUGAACUCCAGGUGGCCCAAAUCUGCCCUUGACAGCCAAGAAAUGCCCGGCCAGGAGGUGCCCCUGCUGCUGCCAGGCCCUGCACAGCAGCCCACCGAGGAACCGGGUACCAGGCUGUCUCCAUCCCUGGCCCUACAGCCUCACACCGGGUGGGGGGGGUCUCACAGGGCCCCCCCGGCUGUGCCCGGCUUCCAAACAUCCGCACGUCUCUGCUGA
ensembl:lncRNA